GGAUCUUUAGCUCAGUUGGUUAGAGCGUUCGCUUCACACGCGAGAGGUCGCUGGUUCGAGUCCAGUAAGAUCCACUA
rnacentral:tRNA from 1 species